rnacentral:tRNA from 1 species
UCCUAGGUAGUCCAGUGGCUAAGACUCUGCACUCCCAAUGCAGGGGGCCUGGGUUCGAUCCCUCAUCAGGGAA